rnacentral:rRNA from 3 species
UGGCGGCAUUAGCGCGGUGGUCCCACCUGACCCCAUGCCGAACUCAGAAGUGAAACGCCGUAGCGCCGAUGGUAGUGUGGGGUCUCCCCAUGUGAGAGUAGGGAACUGCCAGGCA